rnacentral:rRNA from 1 species
ACGCUGGCGGCGUGCCUAAUACAUGCAAGUCGAACGGUCUUUCUAUGGAAGCUUGCUUCCACUGAGAAGAUAGCGGCGAACGGGUGAGUAACACGUGGGUAACCUGCCCAUAAGAGGGGGAUAACAUCCGGAAACGGGUGCUAAUACCGCAUAGUUUUCUUGAUCGCAUGAUUGAGAAAGGAAAGACGGCCUUUGUGCUGUCGCUUAUGGAUGGACCCGCGGCGUAUUAGUUAGUUGGUGAGGUAACGGCUCACCAAGACGAUGAUACGUAGCCGACCUGAGAGGGUGAUCGGCCACAUUGGGACUGAGACACGGCCCAAACUCCUACGGGAGGCAGCAGUAGGGAAUCUUCCGCAAUGGACGAAAGUCUGACGGAGCAACGCCGCGUGAGUGAAAGAAGGUUUUCGGAUCGUAAAACUCUGUUGUCAGAGAAGAACAAGUUGGAGAGUAACUGCUCCAGCCUUGACGGUAUCUGACCAGAAAGCCACGGCUAACUACGUGCCAGCCGCCGC